rnacentral:tRNA from 1 species
UCCCUGGUGGCUCAGAGGGUAAAGAAUCUGCCUGCAACGCAGGAGACCUGGGUUCAAACCCUGGGUCGGGAA